UUUUUCAGCACUUCAUAAGAAAAAGAUGAGGUGUAGUCACAUCAGUUCUGACAUCAGGGAGGAGCUUCAUGAACUCUAAUCAUGUUAACUGGUUAGAGCACAGAAUAUCUUCAUUCAGCUAAAACCAUUCAUCAUGUUCACUGUUAUAUUCAUGUACCUGUGGCUUUCUGUAGGUGACUCCAUGGCAGAUUCAAUAGA